GGGGGUAUAGCUCAGUGGUAGAGUGUGUGCCUAACAUGCACAAGGUCCUGGGUUCAAUCCCUAGCACUGCCA
rnacentral:tRNA from 1 species